rnacentral:lncRNA from 10 species
AAAGCAGAACACGCCAUUAACAAGGCCAGAACCCCGACUGCCAUUCCUGGACGGGAGCCACCAACACCCGCAAAAUCGAUCGAUUCAGCCUGGGACGCUUGCUGUUUCCGAACCUCUGUUGCCACCUAUCCCAGUUUGGAGGGAAUUUUCCCAAGGAUGGUGAAGAAGGGAUUUCCACACGCCGCCUCACUCAGCCCCGCACCCCUGGCCACCAGCCAGGACUUAGGGUGUAGUUAAGGAUCUUUCAAUUAGAAGGGAGGCUUCUGAUUCCCAAAAGCACUCAAAAUAUUUAAGGAAGUGCUUUUUAUAAUCAGUCCUAGAGCCUUGCUGCACUGGAUACUCCUGUUAAUUAAUUUCUUCUCCUUUGACAUUUUAAGUGCUAAUUAUAGGAGAAGGUGAUUAACACUGAGAAAGGAGGAGGGGUGUGUGUGUGUGUGUGUGUGUGUGUGUGUGUGUUUUUAAUCAUGACACAAAUUUCCCCCAGUGGAAAGUGACAUGUUUCUGGAGAUCCAGGGAAUUUAAACCAAUGAAUACAUAAAAACAGUCACAUGAGUGAUGACUAACAGUAGCAGUAGACAGGCCACCACUCUUCCUUGCCAUAGUCAUCCAAAAUGAAAUGAGCAUCUUUUGAAAACCUAAGCCUCAUUCUACUCCUGUCCCUCUUUUGUCACUCCUAUCUUCCUGUUUUCCAGGCUUCAUGACCACACUGCUGUAGGAAGCCAUAAGUUGGAAAUCAACGGGCCUGGCUUGAAGUGUGGCCUUAGGCAACACCGUUCUCAUCUACAUCUGGAUUCUCCAACAAAGCUGGGAAAAAAACGAUCCAAGGGAAGCCAAUCAAAGAGCCUGGAUUGCCAGUCUUCCCUGCUGCGAUCUCCGCCUGCGAUUCUCCAGGGGAAAUGUCCUUUAUGACCUUACAGCUCACCUGGAACCCUCCACCUAGGGCCCGAGGCAGCACAUCCUCUCGUGCCCGGGCACUUCCAGGCAUUGCCCUGAGUACUGGGCACUUCACACACUGGGCUGGACCACUCACCGGAGUGAAUAAGGAGGCUUGAAGCUGUCCUGGUACAACAAUGGAAUGAAGCGCUAGUCUCAGCUCAGCCACUUGGAAUAUGACUCCAACUCUCACAUUUCUGUGGGGUGUAUUCAUUUCAGCUUUUUGUUUGGUGCUAUGGGGAGGGAAGGGCCCUCAGACUGGCAUCCUUUUUCUUCCAGGAUGAUGAUGAAUAUUAUGAAAGUCUGAGGCUGUUUUUAAAAUUCUGCUCUAAUACGUUGUUUUUCUGUGCAUAAGAAUUAUGUAUUCUUAGCUGCAAAACUGGAAUCCGUCUGCUCAUGGAUAAACUUCUGGCCAUGAGCAUGUACCUUUCAGGUAACUUCCCUAUCAGAGAAGCUUACAAUCAAGAAUCCUACUUCCCUAGUUCCCUACACAGGCCCAGGAGGCUUUUGGUGGUAUCCGCUGGACUUUUGAAAAUUAGGGAAUUUCUCCUACUCUGAACUCUACCAGGAAUCACAUAUCAAGAUCUCAGUACCAUCUUACCUAGACCCUCUUGACCUCUUCUUUCUCCAUAAUCUCUUUCUAGCUCAUGUCAUCCAGACUCGAGGGCCCCAUUCUCAGUUUGACACUGAGGACACCCACGCUAUUAUCUCUGGCUGUGACCUUUCCCACGAGCUCCAAAUUCACACCAUCUUUUGACGUCUCCACUUAACUUCCCCAUUUCGGUGUCUCAAACUUGACAAUUCAAAACAGAACUCCCUCCCACUUCCAAACUGGUUUCCUACCCAACUUUCCCAGGCCCCCAGUUUCUCAAGUCAGAAAUCUAUGAGUCAUCCUUGAUGUUUGCCAUUCCCUCAUCCCUCCCAUCCAACCCAUUCGUAGGCUCUUGGGAAUCUACCUCCAAAAUGUCUCUGGAAUCCAUCCUCUUCUCUCCACCUCCACUGCCAACCGCCUCUCACCUGCAAUAGCUCUGAGGCAGCCUCCCCACUUCUUCUGCCUCCCAUCCCCACCCCUACAUAUUCCUGUCCUAUCUCCACCCAGAAGCAAACAAGAUCUUCUUUAACUGUAAAUUGGUUCACAUCUCCCCUGCUUAGAACUUUCCAAGGCCUUGACAUUAUUCCAAGAUCAAGACCAAACUCUUGACUGUGGCCAGUGAGACCUUUCCUGAACUGGUCCUACCUACCUCUGCAAACCCAUCUAGUGACACCUUUCCCUUAGCUUGCCUCCAACAUAGUGUAUUAGUUUCCUAUGGCUGCUGCAGGAAAUGACACAAAUUAUCCCCUUAUAGUCGUGGAAGCCAGAAGUCCAAAAUGGGCUGGAGCCAAGGCAGGCAGGGCUAUGCUGCUUGCAGAGGUUCUAGGGGAGAAUCUAUUUCUUGGUCUUCUUUGGCUUCUAGAGCUGCAAUCCUUGGCUCAUGGCGCCUUCCUCCACCUUCAGAGCCAGCAGUGUAGCAUCUUACUUGGUGAUCACAUUUCUUUCUUCUCCAGUGUCAUAUUUCCCUUUGCUUUACAUUGUCCUUUAAAUUUCUCUUAUAAGGAAACUGCGAUUGCAUUUAAGACCCACCCAGGUAAUCCAAGAUGAUCUUCCCAUCUCAAGACCCUUAACUGAAUCCCACCUCCAAAGUCCCUUUUGCCAGGUAAGGCAACAUUCCCAGGUCCCGGGGAUUAGGAUCUACAUAUGUUCGGGAGUGACUAUUGAGCCUACCAUGCAUACCACGCUCCUUCCCUCACCAGGGUCUUUGUACCUCUUGUCCCCCAUUACUAGAAUGCUCCCUUCUUCCCUCUCACUCUUUGCUUGGCCAUAUCUUUCUCAUUCUUGGGGACACAGCUUACCUGGCACCUCCUCAGACAACCUGUCUCGGACCAGCCCCUUAACAGCCUGAAGACUUUUUUUUUUUUUUUUUUGAUACGGAGUCUUGCUCUGUUGCCCAGGCUAGAGUGCAGUAGUGUGAUCUCAGCUCACUGCAACCUCUGCCUCCCGGGUUCAAGCAGUUCUCCUGCUUCAACCUCCCAAGUAGCUGGGAUUACAGGCACCUGCUACCAUGCCCGGCUAAUUUUUGUAUUUUUAGUAGAGACAGGGUUUCACCAUGUUGGCCAGGCUGGUCUCGAACUCCCGACCGCAAGUGAUCUGCCCACCUUGGCCUCCCAAAGUGCUGAGAUUACAGGCAUGAGCCACAGUGCCUGGAUGAAGACUUUUUCAUGUCUUUUUCAACUGACUUGUUUUCUGCCUGCCUCUCCCUCCACCCUCACCUAAGCACCUUGAGGACCAUGUCUGUUUUGUCAAUCCACUGGUCAUCCUAAUAUAACUGGUUAAUAAAUCAUUGCUGAAUUUAUUUAUUUAUUUAUUUAUGACAGUCUCGCUGUGUCGCCCAGGCUGGAGUGCAGUGGCAUGAUCUCAGCUCACUGCAACCUCCUCCUCCAAGAUUCAAGCGAUUCUCCUGCCUCUGCUUCCCAAGUAGCUGGGAUUACAGGCGUGCGCUGCCACACCCAGCUAACUUUUUUUUUUCUUCUUCUAUUUUUAGAGACAGGGUUUUGCCAUGUUGGCCAGGCUGGUCUUGAACUUCUGACCUCAAGUGAUCCAGCUGCCUCAGCCUCCCAAAGUGCUGAGAUUACAGGCAUGAGCCACCAUGCCUGGCCUCAUUGCUGAAUGAAUUUAAAGAUGACAAACUGACAACCCAAUACAGUGCUAUGCAAAUGGGCUGCUGUGUGUACUCCUCAGCGAAAGGAGACUCAACACCACCUUCCUCCUGAUCUGCUGUAUCAGAAACAAUGGUCUGGGCAGAACAGGGCACCAAUCACAAAGAAAACCCAUAGACACACUCCCAUGCAGGGUCCAGGGAGAUGCCACACCACCGAGUCAGCCAGACGCAAAACCUUUCAAGGAAGUAGGAUUUUACCUUGCUGGGUGACCACCUGAUCCCUUGCUUAUUAAACGCAGCUAAGCACUAUUUUAACACAAGGCCUGCAUGAGAGGCUGCUCGCUGUGGAGAGCCAGCCAUAAGUAAACCUUCUCCAUCCUUCUGUUAAAGACUCCUGGAGCCACUUUGAGGGAAUCGAGGGGGGCCAAGGGGCCUUUUCACAUGUGUUGCAGCCUUUUAGGCUGGGUACGGGGAGGCUCCUGCACAGCUGAAAACUUCAC